GAUGAACGCUGGCGGCGUGCUUAACACAUGCAAGUCGAACGGGUCGGUGUAGCAAUACAACGGCAAGUGGCGAAAGGGAGAGUAACACGUAGAUACCUACCCUCUGGUCGGGGAUACCGCGGCAUAACCGCAAGUAAUACCCGAUAAAAUCUCCGGAUCAAAGGUGUGAUUCCGCCGGAGGAGGGGUCUGCGUUCUAUCAGCUUGUUGGUGAGGUAAUGGCUCACCAAGGCUAAGACGGAUACGGGGUGUGAGAGCAUGCCCCGGCUCACUGGGACUGGGGCACGGCCCAGACACCUACGGGUGGCUGCAGUCGGGAAUCUUCGGCAAUGGGCGCAAGCCUGACCGAGCGACGCCGCGUGCGGGAUGAAGGCCUUCGGGUUGUAAACCGCUGUCGAGGGGAAUGAAGUGUAGGUGGUACUCCCAUCUAUUUGACAGAUCCCUGGAGGAAGCAUGGGCUAAGUUCGUGCCAGCCGCCGCCGUAACAC
rnacentral:rRNA from 1 species